UAAGAAUUUAAAAGUCGAACAGACUUAUUUAUUAAAAAUUCUACUUCUUAAAAUAUUCUUAAUUCAACAUCGAGGUCGCAAAAUAUGAUAUAGAUAUGAACUCCCCAUCAAAAUUACGCUGUUAUCCCUAAGGUAACUUAGUCUUAUUAUCCAUCAUUUAAAAGAUCUAAAAUUACAUAAAUAAAUGAAUAUUAAAACUAAAGUUAGUGAUUUAGUUGCCACCCCAGCAAAAUAUAAUUAAACAUUAAUAAAAAUUAAUAAAUAAAACUUAAUAAAAUAAAAUAAUAUAAAGUUCUAUAGGGUCUUAUCGUCCCAAUAAAUCAAUAAAGCAUUUUAACUUUAAAUUUAAAUUUUAACAUUUAAACAAAUAAAAAAUAAUUCUCAUACAUCCAUUCAUUCAAGCUUUCAAUCAAAAAACUAAUUACUAUGCUACCUUUGCACAGUCAAAAUACUGCGGCCAUUUAGAAAUUAAACCAUAGGGCAGAAGAUACUUUAUAUAAAACCA
rnacentral:rRNA from 1 species